rnacentral:ncRNA from 1 species
UUAUCAUCUGUGAACAGGAAGAGUAGCUAUACAAGUUCGGCUACAGCGAGUCGGGAAUGGUGGAAGCCCGGUGCAAGAAAGUAUAGUGAAUGGACCUGGGAGAUGUGGCCCGAACCAGUAGGUAGGCGUCACCGGUCAUCUCCGACCGUUACCAAAGGAGCGCGUAUCGCCUGUAUUGGGUAGGCCGUACGUAGUGAGCCGGGUCUUUUGACCAAUCGGGGUGGCACCGCGGAUUAACCUUCGUCCCUAUG